UACAGAGGGUGCGAGCGUUAAUCGGAGUUACUGGGUGUAAAGGGCGCGUAGGCGGUGAGAUGUGUGUGAUGUGAAAGCCCCGGGCUUAACCUGGGAAGAGCAUCGCAAACUGUUUGACUAGAGUAUAUGAGAGGGUGGCGGAAUUUCCGGUGUAGCGGUGAAAUGCGUAGAGAUCGGAAGGAACGUCAAUGGCGAAGGCAGCCACCUGGCAUAAUACUGACGCUGAGGCGCGAGAGCGUGGGGAGCGAACAGG
rnacentral:rRNA from 1 species